AGUGUAGCCACAGCGUGGGACCAUGCCAGGCACAAAACGGUUUCAACAUGUCAUUGAGACCCCGGAGCCUGGCAAGUGGGAGUUGUCUGGGUAUGAGGCAGCUGUGCCAAUCACAGAGAAGUCAAACCCACUGACCCAGGAGCUAGACAAAGCAGAUGCUGAGAACAUUGUUCGACUGCUGGGGCAGUGUGAUGCUGAGAUCUUCCAGGAGGAGGGGCAAGCCCUGCCCACAUACCAGAGACUCUACAGCGAAUCCAUUCUGACCACAAUGGUACAGGUGGCUGGGAAAGUUCAGGAAGUGCUGAAGGAGCCAGAUGGGGGGCUGGUUGUGCUGAGUGGAGGGGGCACCUCUGGCCGGAUGGCAUUCCUCAUGUCGGUGUCCUUUAAUCAGCUGAUGAAAGGUCUGGGACAGAAACCUCUUUACACCUACCUCAUUGCAGGGGGUGACAGGUCUGUGGUGGCCUCUAGGGAGGGGACAGAAGAUAGUGCCUUGCACGGGAUUGAGGAACUGAAGAAGGUGGCUGCCGGGAAGAAGAGGGUGAUUGUCAUUGGCAUUUCUGUGGGACUCUCUGCUCCCUUUGUGGCAGGCCAGAUGGACUACUGCAUGAACAACACAGCUGUCUUCUUGCCAGUCCUGGUUGGCUUCAAUCCAGUGAGCAUGGCCAGAAAUGACCCCAUUGAAGACUGGAGUUCAACAUUCCGACAAGUAGCAGAGCGGAUGCAGAAAAUUCAGGAGAAACAGAAAGCUUUUGUGCUCAAUCCUGCCAUUGGGCCCGAGGGUCUCAGUGGCUCCUCCCGGAUGAAAGGUGGAAGUGCCACCAAGAUUCUGCUGGAAACCCUGUUAUUAGCAGCCCAUAAGACUGUGGACCAGGGCAUUGCAGCAUCUCAAAGAUGCCUCCUGGAAAUCUUGCGGACAUUUGAGCGAGCUCAUCAGGUGACCUACAGCCAAAGCCCCAAGAUUGCCACCCUGAUGAAGAGCGUCAGCACCAGGUGUGUGGAUAUGUGUUUAGAGGUGAGGAUGUGGCCCGGAUGGAGAAUACUGAGAGCAGGGAGACUCUGUGAGACAUGUUAACGUGGUAUGGGCGAUGGGAUUACGUGUUGAAGGGUCAUGGUUUGUUGACUCCUGUGCUCUUCCGUGGACAUCUGUGGUCUCUUUGCACUGUGAUCUCUCAUGUCCUGACCUCUGACCCAUUAUCAGUCUGGAGAAGAAAGGCCACGUGUACCUGGUUGGCUGGCAGACCCUGGGCAUCAUUGCCAUCAUGGAUGGAGUAGAGUGCAUCCACACCUUUGGCGCUGGUGGGA
rnacentral:sRNA from 1 species